rnacentral:rRNA from 1 species
GAUCCUGGCUCAGGACGAACGCUGGCGGCGUGCCUAACACAUGCAAGUUGAACGGAACUUUUUUGAAAGAUUUCUUCGGAAUGAAUUUGAUUAAGUUUAGUGGCGGACGGGUGGGUAACGCGUGAGUAACCUGCCUCUAAGAGGGGAAUAACAUUCUGAAAAGAAUGCUAAUACCGCAUAAUAUAUAUUUAUCGCAUGGUAGAUAUAUCAAAGAUUUAUCGCUUAGAGAUGGACUCGCGUCCGAUUAG